UCACUUCCGCUGCCGGUGGCGACAUCUUGCCGGCGGGCGUAGGCGCUGCUGGGCGGAGGCCGUGGAGAGGGCGAGGCCGGCAUGGCUGUGCCGGGGCGGCGGGACCCGCGCCCCAUCUGCCGCCUGGUGCUAGCUGCCGUGGUGUUGCUUUCCUGGGGCUUCGUCCUCUACGGGUCACGGGUGGCCGCCCAGCGGCAGCUGGAGAGCGGCCUCCUGGCCCAGGGGCUGCCCUAGGCGAUGGCAAAGCCCGUGGGACACCGCCGGGAGCUUGGCAUUGUCUCUGAGAGGACGGAGGAAUCCAUCUGAAGGCUGGAGGAGCCCUGUUGUCAGUUGGGUAAAUAAAGCACAAACAGUUACCAGAAAAGAAAAA